rnacentral:tRNA from 1 species
GGCAGUGUAGCUUAGUUGGUAGAGUGCCUCGCAUGCACCCUGGGUUCAAUCCCCAGCACCACCA